CUCUGCUGGGCGCCACGAUCUGGCCGGGACGCAACGCUCCUCAUCUCCUGCCAGGACAGAGACCUCAUUUGGCUUUUGCAGGGGAACCUCCCCGCCCCCAUCGCUGGGUGGGAUGCACGGAACCCGGGCCAGGGCUGGGAAGGAGUCCAGAUGGUCACCGGGACAAAGGGACCCUUUGCGGUGCUACAGCACAGAGCUCCUCCCUCUCUCGCGAGCCAGGGCAAGGCCCUGGGUGCAGCCGGGGCUUCUGGUGCUGCAAAUUUCAGACUCUGUCGUUUCUUCAGUUCAUGUGAUCCGUGCUCUCCAAGGCCUCAGCCUGGGGUCCCUCCAGUCCCACCUGCAGACAUCAGGGAUCGAACUUGGACCUCUUUGCAUGCAAAGUGGGGCUCCGCUGCUGAGAUGUGGCCCUUUGGUCCCCUAAAAUGAAGCCAAGAUUCUAGUCCUCAGUGUUCUUAAGAAAAGGCUGAUUGAAUUAGGAAUGCAGGAAGCUGCCAGGCCCUUCAUCCAGCCGUUCUGUGCCCCCCAGGCUGGUUAGCAUGUCGGAGGCAGAGGGGUCUUCUCUGCUAACCCUCGAGAUGUCAAGAUUUGAAUCCGGGCCUUGCUGCUGGCACUGUGCACACAGUCGUGGGAGCCCUCGAGCGGCGCACAGCCUCCGCGCGCACAGGCAUCGGCUGGCAGAGGGCAGCUCAGAAGCAAGCAUCUGGAAGGCCGGGCCACCAAGCGCAUCCCAACAGCCCCCCAGCCUGGUCCAGCUGUCCGAGGGGCUGGCGGGAGGAGGCCCUUUGGAGCAGCACAUCUGGGGCAGCCUCCGCACAGCUGCUCUCCUCUGCACCACGACCCAGGACAAGACUUGACGCCCUUCUUUCUGGCUGGGCCCUUUCUGGAGCGGCGCGGCGAGGACGAGGCCCCGGCUGGGAUGGGGCCUGCUCCGUGCGGGUGCCGCGUCCGUGCCCCUUCCGCAGGCAAGGACGAUGCCCUGGGGGCAGCCCUCCGAGGAGACUGCAGCCAAUGUGGGCAUGUGACUUGGGUGACUCGUGCGUCCAAGGGAGUGGACUCCCCCCCCCCGCGCGCCUCUCCCCUCGUUGGGGAGCGUCUCUGCUUUUGCAAAGAGGUGGGAAGAUGGGGAGAUGUGGAAGGCGAGGCUGAGGUCAUUGCUCAUGUGCUUUCCUUUAUGGGGACACUUAUCUCCUGUUGUGUGUGCGUUUGUGUGGGUGCUUUUCCCUGUGGCUCAAUAAAAUGGACGGGUGCCUCCAUCUGCAGAAGAAUUUCCCACACAUGAUAGCGGGUGAAGAGAAGCGGACGGGAAGGGCUGGACUCCAUAUUUAGGGGUAAAGACGUUUGCAUUGUGUGCCUGACAAUCAUCUAAUCCGUGUUAUCUGACCUGGAUUAAGAGGGGAGAAACUACUGGAGGGAAGGGUUGGGGGUAUCUGAUUAGCUGAGGGAAGGGGAGAGACUGAACUUCUGGAUUCCCAGGGCCUGAUACCAGCCAUUCCAGGUAUUAAUGAGGACUAGCAGGCUGAAGAAUAAAGUGGAGGAGUGUGAAGGAAAUUUGCCCAUGCCUAGAGGUGGUCUUUCUAUUGUUUUGCAUGUUCCAGAGCUGAUGGAACCAGACUAAAGUCUCAGAAUGCUGAAAAUAUGCAUGCAGAGUGUCCGAAUCUCUGAAAAUGGCCUGCAGGAAUCUCUGAAAAAAAGAUGAAUUACCGAGAGGAGCUCUGCACCUGGUUCAGAGUCCUCAGUUCUGUUCCCUCCUCUGGAUGCUUUUCGAUUAAGCGCUUGAUAUAUUCACCAGGAAUCUUCCAAAGAGGGAAUUCUUGUCCGCCACGUGUAGGAUGGUGUCUCGGCUGUAAACGACGUCGAAGAAGCCCUCUGGAAACGUCCUUCGAGUGGCAUCGCCGAUUUCGAACUGCACCUAAAACACACGGCCGAGAAAACAGCGGUCCCUGAGGAGUAACGUCCAAACGGCCCCCCAUCACACCAGGCCUUAUGGAGGUUCUGAGCCAUGUGUGUGAUGGAAUUCAGGAAUUGGAGGAGUUGCAUUGAGUGUGAAUUCAGAAAUGUGGAGCACCAAAUACGAGGACUCAAAAUCCAGCAGUCAGAAUAUUAGACUGGGACACACAAGAUCCCGGUCAAAUUCCCUCUCAGCCAUGAUGCUCGUCAAGUGGCUUUGGGCCCCCUCAGCUAUUGGACCACUGACCUGACGGAUAGAAACAGGACUCCCGGAAGAAGAGAUGCCCGUCUGGACGUAGCCAGAGAAGCAUCUGUCGGGCGACGCUGAUCAGCUCCGCAUCCGAGAGGUACAUGAAGAGCCAGUUGGAGAAGACGAGGUCAAAGCUACGGCAGGGAAGAGGAGGAGGAGGCGGUCAAGAGCUGCCGGCCGAGCUCCACCUUCGGAAGGGGAAGCUGCAGCAUCCUGAAUGCGUACGAAAGGUGCUGGAUUGUAUGACCCUUGGGGCAGAGACCCAUCCACCAUGCGCCCCAGUGGCACUGAGCAAGCCAGCGGGCCACACCUCUCGGUCGGCAGCUGCAGGCUGGUAACGUCGGCCUGCAGGAACGCCACGUUGGAUCGGUGCCCGUUCUCCUGUCGAUUCUGCACCAAGAAGCUGUCCAUGAAAUCCACGGCCGUGACGUGACGCCCACGUUCGGCCAGAUGCCCCGUGAAUCGGCUGGAAGAGAAACGGAGAGGCCUCAGUCCCGCAAGGGCAACUGCAUGGGGCAGUCGGAAGUGAAGGAAGGAGCCGAGAAGUUCAGCAGAGGGAGGAAUGAGGAAGACGCCCUGAAAUGCAGAAAGCACUGUGGAGACAAAGGCCGUCCAACAUCCGAAGCUCUCUGAGUGCUUUUCAGAGAUUAACGCCUCAAAGAUGAAAAACGAAAUGGAGGAGAAUUAUAUAAGCCACCUUGCAGGCAAAAAGAUCUUGGGACUCUACAAGAAGGGGCUAAAAUGCCGGGCGUGCAGUGUGAGCUGCCACAAGCAGUGCCGGGACCUCCUCUCCGUCGAGUGCCGCAAGCGCACCAAGAGCGUCAGCCUGGACGGCCCCGCGGCGCUGCCGGCCCGCUCCUUCAGCUUCUCCCUGCCGCGGCCCGGGCGGUCCUCCCUGAGGCACUCAGAAAUCCAGGAGGAAGAGAUGCAGGCUGUGGAAGAUGGGGUCUUUGAUGUACACCUAUGAGGCCGAUGCGCAGGGCUAGCCUGAAAUUCAGGCACCAGAACCUUUCGUCCCUCCUUGAGCUUUCCCUCUUCAAAUCCUCCACCAUGUUCCAGGGCCUCACAGCGCCUCCCCUCGCGAGCGGAACAUGACUUGCUGGUGGGCAGAGAGACGGUCCCUCCUUCCAGACGCCGCCUUUGCUCCUGCAACUUCCAAGACUUGGGGCGACGUGUUCCCUGGCCGGGCACGAGGGGUGGAGGUUCUCUCUCCGGUGAUGUGUGUAUAUUUGUAUCAAGAACUGGAUUUCGAGGUGUAAUACUCAUUCUAAUAAAAGCAACACACUCUGCC